rnacentral:lncRNA from 1 species
GUUUUUUUUAACUUAUAAUUUGAUAUAUCUGUUAAUGUUAUAAAUACAAUGUUUACAUAAUCACAAAAAUAAAAACCUUUAUUUUAUAUUUAUAUAAUAUAUAAAGGUUAUAUAUAGAGACCCUUUAUUUUUAAAAUUAUUAUUAGUGUGUAUGAUUUAUGUGUGCGAUUGCAGAAGGUAUACCUGUAAAGGUCAGAAGAUUACUUUAUGAAGUCAGUUCUCUCCCCCUCCCUUUAUGUGGGUUCCAGGGAUUGAACUCAAGGCAUCUGGCUUGUGUGGCAGGCACUUCUAUCUGCUGGGCCAUCGGGCUGACUCUGGCAUCACCUUUUGAAGGGCAUAUCUUCAUCGUAAAUGCUCUUGGAUUUUAUGGAUUGGGUGUUUGUGUUCACCCAAAUUCAAAGUGAGACCUACCAUCAGUGCAUGAUGUGAAGAGAUGGGGCUUUGGGGUUUGGGGUGUUAUUGGGCAUGGCAGGGGAGCCAGAGGGCAUGAGGGAACAUACCCAGGGGUGUGCUUUCUUCUGUGGAUCAGUCUGCGCAGGAAGUCUCUGUGAUGACCAGGUCUCACCGUCCAGAUCUGCAGGCAGCUCAGCCUUCAGAACCGUGACAGAGCCAAGUGAUUGUUGGGAGCAGAGGAAUGGGAGAAAGCCAGAAAUCCAUUGAAAGAUACUUUUAAUCCACUUAGGAAUACUUACGUAAAUACAUCUUGAAAACUUAAACUGGAAAUAAGCUUACACCAGAAUGAAACCAGUAGGCAAGAAACACAAUCUAUUUGAACAAGCAGUUUUUCCCGUAUCUUCUGUUUCACUCAGCUCUAUAAACAUUUGUGAACCACGUGGGAUGAAUUGGAGGGAUACAGGCAUGGAUGACCUGUAAUGCUUGCCCAUAGGCUGUGCAGGGGCUGGCUGUGGUCAGGACUCAGCAGGUGAAGGUGCCUGCUGCCCAGCCUGAUGAUCCGAGUCCACUUUCUGGAAUCUCCAUGGUUGACUGCCUCCAAGAGAUCCAGUUUCUCUGUCCUUUAGACUGCCGAGAGGGGACUGGCCAUCUACCUCUCAUAGGCAAUGCUGUCCCUUUGAUCCUGCAGGCCAACAGCUCCCUCUGGUGGUCUCUAGUGGAAGUCUCGACUGUAAGGGGCUUCUGUCUCCUGGGAGGUGGAUGGAGUGGAGAAGGCGAGAUCAGCCGUGGUUCUAGUGGACUCUGCACAGCGCUCCGCACCGUUCAGAUCCCAUAUUUGCCUGAGUGGGGGAGAGGGAACUUGGGAGAGCGUCAGUGAGCCUUGUUACUGUGAUAAAAUAAAUGUCUGGCAAAAACAAAAGAAGACAGUCUUUUGGGGGUUUCAGCCUGUGAUGGGCGAGUUCCAUCGCUUCUGGACCCAUGAUGGAGGCAGCACAUCAUGGUGGAGAGGGCACGGUACAGGCGGCAGAGAUGCUCAUCUCAUUGAGGCAGGGAACAGGUAAAGGGUCCAGGAGACAAGAUGUACCCUUCAAAGGCAUGCCCUGGUGACCUAUGUCCUUCAGUUACACCCUAGCUCCUAACAGGCCAUUCAGUAUCAGAGGGCUGCUCAAUCCUUUGCCCUCAUGAACCAGGAACCUCUCACUAGCACCCCCAACUGGAGCCAAACCUUCAUUGCAUGAGCCUAUUAGGGUUACACUGGAUACACAAACAGGAACAGAGUGCAAGCCCUAAGCCCCACUGCAGCCUUCACUGGCUUGUGACUUUAGAGGCACCUCAUGAAGUUUUACCUUGGUCAAGGUACUGUGCUGAAGGCUGUAACAGAGUCUACUAAAUUAAACACACCCGUUCUUCCCUCUAGUCUGAGGCGCACCCACCAUGUGUUGCUGUGUAGUUGCUUCUAGAUGACACGUGUGCAGAAAUGCAUCUUGACAAAGGCUGCACAUAGUGUGUGCUCCAGAGGUCAGCAAUCAUCCUAACUGCUGACCAUGGAGAGAAGAACCACUGAGGGCCACGGAGUGGGAGGUGGGCUUUAGUUGAUCAAAGAAUAAGUUACAUCCUUCCUUCUGUCUUGGUGUCCCAUGGUGCUGGGAGAGAGAAGGGGGGGAUACUAGGCUGUGGAUCAGUUGACAAAGUGCUUGCAUAAAGUCUGGGUUUGAUCCCUGGUGCUGCCAGGCCAGAUGUGGUAGUGCAUACCCGUAAUCCCAGCACUUGGGGGGCAGGAGGCUCAGAAAUUCAAUGUCAUCCCUGUCUCCACAGCAGGUUUCCUGAGAUCCUAUUUUAAGAGAGGAUGGCGACGGAUUCUCAAAGAAUUGAUAAAAAUCAAUUGGGGGAGGGGAAGGGCCAGGAGAGAGGAGGUGAGGGGCAAGAAUGGGGUAGGGCACUGUAUCAAGGAGGAAUGAACUUACUUGUUUUCCUGUCCACAGUUCCUUCUACAGCUGGAAUGCAAGAUCCUGAGUGGAGUCCAGGUGGUGGGUCUGGGAGCCUCCAGAGAGUCAUGGCCAGUCAGGAUGGCUGCCGUCCCCGUGCUUCUGGAGAGGGGCUUAGCCAAGAGGAAGCCACCCCAAAGGCUGAUCUCCUGACAGUUGAGCCGGUCCCCUGACAUGUGGCAUGCUGCAGAGCCUCGGAGGAAAGAGACAGCAACACUGACGAAUGAGGUCAGCGGGACCUGCUGAGUACCCAGUGGAUGUGGAGAACAGUGGAGGCAGAGUGCCCGCUCAGAUUACAUGAUUAACUCUCUCGGUCACCAGUGCCUAGCAUCCAGGCUGGGCCCCAAGGAUGCAGAGGCCAGUAGGACCCAGAGACCUCCUGGCCGGAGAGAAUGGCAGGCCCGUAGCUGGGGGUUGGAUGCCAUCCGAUAGGUGUUUGGGGAAUAUUCUGGAGGGCAAAGGGCACUGAUGCCAGUGGAUAAAAGGGCUCUUGGUUACAAGAACCAGCACUGGGUUAGAUGAAUGCUACCUGUCCCAGUUGCGGUUCCUAUUGCUAGGGUGAAGCACCGUGACCAAAAGCAAGUUGGGGAGGGAACCGUUUGUUGGCCUUACACUUCCUCAUCCAUAAUCCAUCAUUGAGGGAAGUCAGGACAGAAACUCAAGCAGGGCAGGAUCCUGGAGACAGAGGCUGAUGCAGAGGCCAUGGAGGGGUGCUGUUUACUGGGUUGCUUCCCAUGGCUUGCUCAGUCUGCUUUCUUAUAGGAUCCAGGACCACCAGAUCAAAUAUGCCACCACCCAAUGGGCUGGGCCCUCACCCACCAAUCAAUCACUAAGGAAAUGCUCUAUACAUUUGCUUACAGCCCAGUCUUCUGCAGGCGUUUUCUCAUCUGGGGGUCCCUCCUCUCAGAUGACUCUAGCUUGUGUGAAGUUGACACAAAUCUAGCCAGCGGACUGCAUGAAACUCGGAGACUGGUCUUGGUGAGGAAACCAAAGGAGCUGACUCAGAAAGUCAACGGGAACCAAGAUACCCUGCGCAGCAGAGAAUUCAAAGUAUAUCAGGCUCAUGCUGGAAGAAGGCUCGGCAGUUAAGAGCAUAUACUGAGUCCAGAGGACCUGAGUCCACUUGCCAGCAAUCACACCAGGUGUCUAUAACUCUAGGUCCAGGCCAGAGCUCUGCAGCACCUACAACCAUGUGCGCACACACUUACAUAUAACUAAGACUAAUAAAAAUGAACGUUUUUAAAAAAUGUCAUGCGUCAGAACCAUCAGUUCAGAACCUGUGUGCUUUAUUUAGAGUUUUUCCGGUCAGCUCGGCAUGAGCUGGAGUCAUCUGAGAAGAGGGAACUUCAGUUGAGAAACCACCUCCAUCAGAUGGGCCUGCUGGCA